UACAGAGGUCUCAAGCGUUGUUCGGAUUCAUUGGCGUAAAGGGUGUGUAGGUGGCGCGCUAAGUCGGGUGUGAAAUUUCGGAGCUUAACUCCGAAACUGCAUUCGAUACUGGCGUGCUUGAGGACUGGAGAGGAGACUGGAAUUCAUGGUGUAGCAGUGAAAUGCGUAGAGAUCAUGAGGAAGACCAGUGGCGAAGGCGGGUCUCUGGACAGUUCCUGACACUGAGACACGAAGGCCAGGGGAGCAAACGGG
rnacentral:rRNA from 1 species